rnacentral:rRNA from 1 species
AGCGAACGCUGGCGGCAGGCUUAACACAUGCAAGUCGAGCGGGCAUCUUCGGAUGUCAGCGGCAGACGGGUGAGUAACACGUGGGAACGUACCCUUCGGUUCGGAACAACUCUGGGAAACUGGAGCUAAUACCGGAUACGCCCUUAUGGGGAAAGGUUUACUGCCGAAGGAUCGGCCCGCGUCUGAUUAGCUAGUUGGUGGGGUAACGGCCUACCAAGGCGACGAUCAGUAGCUGGUCUGAGAGGAUGAUCAGCCACACUGGGACUGAGACACGGCCCAGACUCCGACGGGAGGCAGCAGUGGGGAAUAUUGGACAAGGGGCGCAAGCCUGAUCAAGCCAUGCCGCGUGAGUGAUGAAGGCCUUAGGGUUGUAAAGCUCUUUUGUCCGGGACGAUAAUGACGGUACCGGAAGAAUAAGCCCCGGCUAACUUCGUG